CCACGUUUGCACUGAAGUUAUCAAAAACAGUGGGUAUAUAAUCCUGAUGAACAAAAAAAGCAUUAAGUAGUAUAAAGUGUAGAAUAAUAACAUUUAUUUCUAUGUUUAUUUGCAUGAAACAACAAAGUAGAAGCAACAUUUGCAUGAGGAUAAAAGAAACCAAUUCUGAACAGGAAAACAAGCGAAACCCAGACGAUCGUCUAAAAUUGGAAAACCCAGAAAGACAACUUUAUAGAAGCCAAAGGAUUUUAGACAGACUAAAAAGAGAAGAUUGAAUUGGUGUUGAAGAAAACACAAAAAGCAACAAAACCCAGAUGCAAUCAGACAAUAAACAACACAGAAGAUCACCCAAAAAAGGAAAAUAAAAUAUAAAGCAGAGGUUAGAAAGCCUUCCAGACAGAUAAUUUGAUGGAACAAAAAAAAACUCA
rnacentral:misc_RNA from 1 species